GCCGUGGUAGCACAGGUGGUGAGUGCGGCUCCCUUCUAAGGAGCAUACGCGGGUUCGAUUCCCGUCCAUGGUU
rnacentral:tRNA from 1 species